rnacentral:lncRNA from 1 species
AUGAUGUUCAGCGUCGACAGUCGAGAACGAGCGAAGCCCUUCAUCAGGGGGACCGGGGACCUUCAUCACAGCUGGAACAGCCGUGUUCGUCUGUUUACAUGGGACAGUGAAACAUUAGCCUUGGUGUCACUGACCUUUCCCUGAGUCAGGGCGAUGGGCCUCUGCUCUAAUCUCUGCAAGGAAAAUGAAGUCUGCCACCAAGACUCCUAAUGGAAAAAUAUGUUCAGACGUGAUCUUGUGAAAAAGCACUUGACUUCCCUCACAAAGGUAAAGUCUGUUGAUUCCUGUGAAUGAGAGGAGAACUGUUACCCAUCACGCUGGCUUUUAUGAUUCAGUGGCUGCUCCUUAGAGUAGCUGCCCCUUUAAAUACAACAAGCUUUUGGCUCUAAUGGCGUUUUUGUUCAAUGAACUAACAAAAACACAUUAAAAAUGUCUGGGGAAUGUGAAACUCUAUGACAUAGGCUGCACUGAUGUAAAACUUCUAUAACCUGUUCUGAUUUUUGUCAGGCUUAAAAUAAUCUUCUUCUGCUUCUUCUUGUUCUUUUUCUUCUUAUUAUUAUUAAUAUAAUAUAAUAAUAAAAAAAGCUGUAAUCUAUAACUCUACUCUUUA